rnacentral:rRNA from 1 species
GAUGAACGCUGGCGGAAUGCUUUACACAUGCAAGUCGAACGGCAGCACGGGGCAACCUGGUGGCGAGUGGCGAACGGGUGAGUAAUAUAUCGGAACGUGCCCAAUCGUGGGGGAUAACGUAGCGAAAGUUACGCUAAUACCGCAUACGAUCUACGGAUGAAAGCGGGGGAUCGCAAGACCUCGCGCGAAUGGAGCGGCCGAUAUCAGAUUAGGUAGUUGGUGGGGUAAAGGCUCACCAAGCCAACGAUCUGUAGCUGGUCUGAGAGGACGACCAGCCACACUGGAACUGAGACACGGUCCAGACUCCUACGGGAGGCAGCAGUGGGGAAUUUUGGACAAUGGGCGCAAGCCUGAUCCAGCCAUUCCGCGUGCAGGAUGAAGGCCUUCGGUUGUAAACUGCUUUGUACGGAACGAAACGGUACUGCCUAACUACGGCAGGCUAAUGACGGUACCGUAAGAAUAAGACACCGGCUAACUACGUGCCAGCAGCCGCGGUAAA